rnacentral:lncRNA from 1 species
GCAGAAGGGACAUAAUUGCAGAGGCCUUAAAGCAGGAACAAGCUGGUAUCCAGUCUCAGCCCUUCUUAUUCAUCCUACAGCUGCUGCUUCUGGAAGAACUAUAGAAGCUGGUGUGGCUAGAAUGUAGUUAGGGAAGGGAAGAUUCCAGGUGAGAACUGGGAGACAAAGGAACAGACAGCAGGGCCUUGUAGGCCAUGGGACACAUAUAUUAUUCUAGAUACAAUGGAAUUUCAUUCAAGGAUUUUUUAAAUAAGGGAGUGACGAGAUCUGAUUUUUCAUUUAGAAAAGAUUAUGCCAACUCUUUGUGAAGAUUGGAUUGUAGGGAGGCAAGGGAGGAAGUAAUGAGACUCUUUAAGAAACCAUCGCAUAGUUUAGGAAAGAAAAGGUAGUGGUUUUGGACCACUUUGGGUGGUAUGGAAGAUUGGAAGGGACACAUUAGAGAUAGAUUUUCAAGGUAACAGACAGGGCAUGGAUCCAUUGGAUGUUGGAGUCAAGUGUAGAAGGAAAGAGAGUGAUCAGGGAUGACUAGUUGGUUUGAGGUUUGAGCAUCUGAAUGCAUGGCCCAACUAUAUACUGAGAUGGAAAAUCUCUAGGAGUAACAGGAUUUUGCUUUGGCAGGUGGAAUCAGUAAUUUAUUGUAGGCCAUGUUUGAGAUGCCAGUUUGUCAUCUAAGUGGAGAUUUGGAGUAGAUAGAUGAGAGUCUGCAGCUCAGGGAAGAGGUCUCAUUGAACAUAUAAAGGUAGGAGUGUAGAAUAUGGACCAUAUUUAAAGCCAUGAUACUGAAUGAACUUGCUUUGGGAGAGAGUAUAGAUGGAGAGGAAGUCCUGGGACUGAGUCAUGAGUGCGCCAUCAUUUAAUGGUCCAGCGAAGGAAGAAGAGAGAACAAGAAAAGACUGAGAAGAAGCUACGGUAGUUGGAAAAAGCAACAACAAAAAACAGGAAAAUGAGGUCUAGGGAAGAAAGUCAUGGGAGCCCAGGGAGAAAAGCAUUUCAAAAUGGAGAAAGAAGCCUCUGUGGGAUUUGGCAUUAUGGAGGUUAUCAACAAAAGCAGCAAGGAUUGGAGCAGGUUGAAAUAUGAAUACAUGGUGGGAAAGUGGAGACCCUACUUUAGUCAACACUGUUGAAGUUUUGCUGUGAAGGGAAUGGAGCAUUACAACCAAAUAGAUAUCCAUUGACCAACAGAGGAUUCCCUACACAGCACAACAGAAUGCGUAAGAGAUCCAUGCAGCUAUACAUCUGAGAUGGGUGAACUGGACCCCUGGGAAGCAGUGAAAGUAAGGGAGCAGCCCCCUCCACAUCCCCUGGCAGCAGCGAUCUGGGGCACAGAUCCUCACACAGCAGCCUGAGCAACUGAGUGAGGGCAAGAGCAGCCUGGCCCUGUGCAUGUAUGCAAAUAC